rnacentral:rRNA from 1 species
CGCGGCCUAUCAGCUUGUUGGUGGGGUAACGGCCUACCAAGGCAACGACGGGUAGCUGGUCUGAGAGGACGAUCAGCCACACUGGGACUGAGACACGGCCCAGACUCCUACGGGAGGCAGCAGUAGGGAAUCUUGCGCAAUGGGCGAAAGCCUGACGCAGCGGCGCCGCGUGCGGGAUGAAGGCCUUCGGGUCGUAAACCGCCUUCAGCAGGGACGAAAUUGACGGUACCUGCAGAAGAAGGCCCGGCCAACUACGUGCCAGCAGCCGCGGUGAUACGUAGGGGUCUAGCGUUGUCCGGAAUCAUUGGGCGUAAAGAGCUCGUAGGCGGUUCGGCAAGUCGGAUGUGAAAUCUCCACGCUCAACGUGGAGGGGCCAUUCGAAACUGCUGUGACUCGAGUCCGGUAGGGGAGUUCGGAAUUCCCGGUGUAGCGGUGAAAUGCGCAGAUAUCGGGAGGAACACCAGUGGCGAAGGCGGAACUCUGGGCCGGAACUGACGCUGAGGAGCGAAAGCGUGGGGAGCGAACAGGAUUAGAUACCCUGGUAGUCCACGCCGUAAACGUUGGGCACUAGGUGUGGGACUCUAUCGACGGGUUCCGUGCCGUAGCUAACGCAUUAAGUGCCCCGCCUGGGGAGUAC